rnacentral:rRNA from 1 species
UACGGAGGGUGCGAGCGUUGUCCGGAAUCACUGGGCGUAAAGGGCGCGUAGGCGGCGCGGAUAGUCGGCGGUGAAAGCCCGGAGCUCAACUCCGGGUCGGCCGUCGAUACUUCCGGGCUUGAGCACUGUAGAGGCAGAUGGAAUUCCGGGUGUAGCGGUGGAAUGCGUAGAGAUCCGGAAGAACACCGGUGGCGAAGGCGGUUAGCUGGGGUCGGACUGACGCUGAGGCGCGACAGCGUGGGGAGCAAACAGG